GGGGAUGUACCCAAGGGGAUCA
rnacentral:tRNA from 1 species